UAGUGGCGAACGGGUGAGUAACACGUGGGCAAUCUGCCCUUCACUCUGGGACAAGCCCUGGAAACGGGGUCUAAUACCGGAUAACACUGCGGAUCGCAUGGUCUGCGGUUGAAAGCUCCGGCGGUGAAGGAUGAGCCCGCGGCCUAUCAGCUUGUUGGUGGGGUGAUGGCCUACCAAGGCGACGACGGGUAGCCGGCCUGAGAGGGCGACCGGCCACACUGGGACUGAGACACGGCCCAGACUCCUACGGGAGGCAGCAGUGGGGAAUAUUGCACAAUGGGCGAAAGCCUGAUGCAGCGACGCCGCGUGAGGGAUGACGGCCUUCGGGUUGUAAACCUCUUUCAGCAGGGAAGAAGCGAAAGUGACGGUACCUGCAGAAGAAGCGCCGGCUAACUACGUGCCAGCAGCCGCGGUAAUACGUAGGGCGCAAGCGUUGUCCGGAAUUAUUGGGCGUAAAGAGCUCGUAGGCGGCUUGUCGCGUCGGAUGUGAAAGCCCGGGGCUUAACCCCGGGUCUGCAUUCGAUACGGGCAGGCUAGAGUGUGGUAGGGGAGAUCGGAAUUCCU
rnacentral:rRNA from 2 species